GAAUGACUUUUUUACCGGCGGCGAUAGAGUGAACGGAGACGGUCUGAAGCUGAUCAUUUUCAUCGAAGAAAGAGAUAGUUCCGUCUGGUACAACAUCGCCGACAGUAAUUGGAGCCAUGAAGAGAUCUCUGUGGUUUUGAAGACAGAGGAAAAUAGAAGAGUUUUGUUUGACUUGAGUGCGAAAAUGUAUUUAGGCCUUAG